UGCUUCUCAAAACUACUCCAAAACUAGACCAAUUGUGUUUCCAGGAAGGCCGCGUGCGCUCAGCUGCUGUCGAAUCACAACACAGGAACCGCUGGCCUAAUCAGAACUCGUUAUGUAUUUCUGAAGGAGGGACUUUAUAGAACAAGAAAGUCAUCAGCCCGUUUUUAUGACAGUGAAAACAGCGGUAUACAGAUAGGUGAAUUGUGUGAAAAAUACUGUGUUUUUUUUACACGCGAAACAUGAACACGUUAUAUUGCACACUGUAAACACAAUCAAAGCUUCAAAAAAGCACGAAAAACUGGACUUUUAAC